GCAGAGUAUCUGAUGCAUAUAGGUAAGUCAUGAAGUUGUCCUCUGCAUGAGUUAUUCCAUUCCCCUCGCCCAUGUUGUCUGUCACUUGCAGUUCAAAUUCCUUUGCCAUGGUCCGAGCCUCGAUACUUGAGACUAGCUGCUAUAUAAAGCAUCGAGACAGGCAAAACCCAACCCAGAAGUUCAUUCAGCUUAGUCUUUUUCAGAUACUUACAAUAUCAUUUCAGUGAGGCUGUUCCAGUAUCUCCUCCAUGGCGUCUUUGAAGGCUGAAAAACCUGCAGUGGGAGCUCAACGAAUUGGGCAGUCUAAGAAGGAAGCUAAACCCAGCGAUGUUGCACAGAAAGCUUCGGCCUCGAAGUCCAAUUCUGCAUCAAAGAAGCCUGCUCAAAGAUCUCAAGAUCCCCCUAAAAAGAGGAAAGGGGGCAAGUCUGCUGCGAAGAACUAAAUGAAAGAAAAGGCUGUUCCAUUUUCUUGCACGCUAAGGAAAGUUACCAUUCUAUGUUAGUCUGCUUUGUUAUGUAUAUCUUUUGUAUUUUAAACAGUGUGACAAGAGAGGAGCUCUCAUAUCUGAAAUAAAAAUAUGUUUCACUUA